rnacentral:rRNA from 1 species
CUUACCUGGUCUUGACAUCCACAGAACUUGGCAGAGAUGCCUUGGUGCCUUCGGGAACUGUGAGACAGGUGCUGCAUGGCUGUCGUCAGCUCGUGUUGUGAAAUGUUGGGUUAAGUCCCGCAACGAGCGCAACCCUUAUCCUUUGUUGCCAGCGGUCCGGCCGGGAACUCAAAGGAGACUGCCAGUGAUAAACUGGAGGAAGGUGGGGAUGACGUCAAGUCAUCAUGGCCCUUACGACCAGGGCUACACACGUGCUACAAUGGCGCAUACAAAGAGAAGCGACCUCGCGAGAGCAAGCGGACCUCAUAAAGUGCGUCGUAGUCCGGAUUGGAGUCUGCAACUCGACUCCAUGAAGUCGGAAUCGCUAGUAAUCGUGAUCAGAAU